rnacentral:rRNA from 1 species
GACGAACGCUGGCGGCGUGCUUAACACAUGCAAGUCGAACGGAAAGGCCCUGCUUUUGUGGGGUGCUCGAGUGGCGAACGGGUGAGUAACACGUGAGUAACCUGCCCUUGACUUUGGGAUAACUUCAGGAAACUGGGGCUAAUACCGGAUAGGAGCUCCUGCUGCAUGGUGGGGGUUGGAAAGUUUCGGCGGUUGGGGAUGGACUCGCGGCUUAUCAGCUUGCUGGUGGGGUAGUGGCUUACCAAGGCUUUGACGGGUAGCCGGCCUGGGAGGGUGACCGGCCACAUUGGGACUGAGAUACGGCCCAGACUCCUACGGGAGGCAGCAGUGGGGAAUAUUGCACAAUGGGCGGAAGCCUGAUGCAGCAACGCCGCGUGCGGGAUGACGGCCUUCGGGUUGUAAACCGCUUUCGCCUGUGACGAAGCGUGAGUGACGGUAAUGGGUAAAGAAGCACCGGCUAACUACGUG